rnacentral:rRNA from 1 species
CCUACGGGAGGCUGCAGUCGAGAAUCAUUCACAAUGGGGGAAACCCUGAUGGUGCGACGCCGCGUGGGGGAAUGAAGGUCUUCGGAUUGUAAACCCCUGUCAUGUGGGAGCAAAUUAAAAAGAUAGUACCACAAGAGGAAGAGACGGCUAACUCUGUGCCAGCAGCCGCGGUAAUACAGAGGUCUCAAGCGUUGUUCGGAAGCACUGGGCGGAAAGCGUGCGUAGGCUGUUUCGUAAGUCGGUUGUGAAAGGCGCGGGCUCAACCCGCGGACGGCAUAUGAUACUGCGAGACUAGAGUAAUGGAGGGGGAAGCGGAAUUCUUGGUGUAGCAGUGAAAUGCGUAGAUAUCGAGAGGAACACUCGUGGCGAAGGCGGGUUCCUGGACAUUAACUGACGCUGAGGCACGAAGGCCAGGGGAGCGAAAGGGAUUAGAUACCCUGGUAGUC